GCCUGGGGGGCUCAGUCGGUUAAGCAUCUGACUUCGGCUCAGGUCAUGAUCUCAUGGUUCGUGAGUUCAAGCCCCACGUCAGGCU
rnacentral:tRNA from 1 species